AAAUCGAAUCCACUCAAAGUGUUAGAAUAAAGAAUCACUCUAAAAGCACCACAUUGUCUUUCUAAACUCCCAAAGAAAUACAGAUUUCUAAAUACGUCUGGCUAAGGAUUUUGACGGAGAGAAGGCUCCGAGAACACGUGGUUGCAGAAAUGAAGGUGUGGGGGGAACCUUUUGCUCUGAUAAAGUUCCAGAUUCAGAUGUUGCCUGGCAUGGACGUUCAAGCGGGCAGCAGAUGCUGGCAGCUGUCCGGAGCUCGGCUGGGCAGUUGAUGGGAGAGCCCCAUGUGGACCCUCCAAUAUGGCAGCCUUGGAGAAGCUGGACAGCUUACAUGGUGGCCGCCGAGCAUCCUGAUGGCAUCAGGCGGAAGCUGCCUGCCCUUCUGAUCUGGCUUGGAAGUCACCCAGCCUCAUUCCUGCCAACUCUCCUGACCAAGAAGUCUCAGAGCCUGCCCAGACUCCAGAGGAGGUGACAGGGCCCAGCCAUCAAUGAGAGGCAAAUCAAAGAAAGCAGGUCUCGUUUUAGAGGCUUCAGUGUUACUUGAAUUUGUACAAGUGUGGACUCGAAAUAAAAAAAGAAGGCCUUUGCAUCACUGCCUUCUCGGCAGCAGGGGCUGCAGCCUCCAGCAAUCCCAGUUCUGUCAUCAGCUGAAGAUGCGAGGCUGGUGAGUGAGUCACCGGGCCUCACAGAGGGACCUUUCCACCCUCGACUGAUGUGGCCACUUCCCUGUGGCCACUGGGACAACUCUCGUGUGUGUCCCGCAGUGACGUGGAUGCCUCCACUGGAGGCUGUAGGGCUGGCAGGAGGGAGCGACCCUCCUCUCCGAGCCCCCGAUGGCAUCAAGCUGGACCCUUUGGGAUGCUCCCUCUGGCCCCGCCCAGUCCCCUCCCUUCCCCCGCCGCCCCCAGCGCCUCCAGACCCCUGCCCGCGGGGAAGUCCAGAAGCCGCCAGCAUCCUCCAUCCUUCUUGCUGGUGCCAGACAAGGGCCCGGGGGAGAGCAGAACCUCAAGGCCGAGGGAAGAUGGUCAUCCUGGCGUUGGGAGGCCAGUGGUCCCUCUGAGACUCCGUAAGGACCGUCGGCAAAACAUCCCCGGAGUUCUAGGUGGUUUCCAUCGCUCCGAACUUAAAACUUAUUUGCUAUUUUCCCAUGUAGAGCAAAUGCCUUGGCUCCCGGCCAGCCUCUGACCAGCAGCUUCUAAUUAUCCACGUGUGGAGGACAAGGGCAGGGCGGAGACCCAGAAGGGUGUGCUGGACCGUGGGGAGCAAGGGCAGGAAGCCCAGAAACUUCCCUCCUCCCCAGGCCACGGGGAAGCUCUGCAUGUGAGGUCGGCCAGUGUGGGGAGGCCUGCACAUUGUCACUGAGGCCUCAGCCGCCCAAUUCCUGUGACCCGAAAGUACAGCCCUUUAGGGCAGGCCCCCCACCCCACCCCAGGAUGGUGCUACCCAGUGCACCAGCCACUGGGAUAAAGGGGCCCUGGAGUUUCCAUGGCCUCGCACAACCGAAGUUCAUUUCUCACUCUGGACGUGGUCCAGGGGUGAGCCAGCAGAGAGCAUCACUCCACAUGCCCAUCCAGGGACCCAGGCCUCUUCCACCUGUGGUUCUGCAUCCCCAGGGGUUCCGGCUUCUUCCCGGGGAUCCUUGCUGUCCCACCAGCAAACGGGGGAGGCAGGGGAGAAGGCAGACUGUCCUUCACCACCGGGCCUAGAACAGCCCACGUCACCUCUCCUUUGGCAGAACAGGACACCCGGUCCCCCUAGAUGUGGGACACCGGGGCAUCCCGGCUGCCUGUGCCCAGCAGGGAGGGCGAGCCCUGCAUUGUGAGCCUAGACCGUGGGCGCCGGGGGACCCGUUAAAUACUGGGGGAGGUCAACAGCAGGCAGCACUCAGCCAGCAGCCCUGCCUGCUGCGAACACGUCCGGAUGAGAGUCUCAAAGAUUCUGGAGGAGACGCUUUCAGCCUUGAGGGCUCAGACUCAGAUUUCGAAGGCGCACAUCGCUGUGCAGUGUAGACUGAGCGGGAAUCCCCUCUUGAGCCCACCAUAUCCAGCAACGACCCUCCCUGUCUGUGAACUCACUUCUCAUCCUGCAGACCUUCCUUCCAAUGCUUAGGCAGCCUCGGGAAACAGUGGGUUCUCACCCUAUUCACAUCUAGAUUACAGGCAAGGACUUUCCAGUUUAAAAAUGCUACACCCAUGUUUGCUAUGCACACUGAGAAAUCUUGACCUUCAACUUCAUGCAAAUCAGGAAAAGCUCUCUUGCGCAGUUAGCAGCCUGCUCAACGGUGCCCAGCAACUCUGUCGUAAAUUCCAUUUCAGUGGAAAGGAAUUGAGGUCAUCAAAUCUGGUGGUUUUGAAAGCCCCACCCACUCACCCAAAUCCACUGGUCCUCAAUUUGAUACUGGGAACCUGAGGUCACAGAGCCCUGUUAUUGGUCAACAUUAGAACAAUGGAUAAGUUUCAAACCUCCAGUUUGGCCAUCUGCACCAGCAGCACCGCCCCCAAUACAACAUACGCCACAUGUGUAAUUUCAAACCUUCUAGUUGCCAUAUUUUUUUAAGUUUAAAAGAGAGGGGGUAUUAAUUUUAAUAAGAUCUUUUCUUUAACCCAGAAUACCCAAAAUAUCAACCUGGAGUGAAUACAAAACAAUAAAGUGUCACGUUUUGCAUCCUUUAUUUCACACGAAGUCUUCAAAGCCUGGUGUCUGUUUUACGCUUAGCAUCUACGAAUCUGAUGUAUGUUCACACUUCUGCAUCUUAAUUUGGAUGGUAAAUUUUCACCAAAACUACUCCGUCUUUAUGCACAGUUAGUCCCUAAGAUUUAGAGUGGAAAAGGUGGAUUCACAUAGCAACCCGAUGCAAACAGGCUUCCGUUACCUUCAUCACUGGCUGCAGUAUUGUUUUCAAGUUCAAAUGAACGAAGAGGAGAUAGAGCUGAGAAUGCGUUUCCGGGUCACACAGGCCGCAUCUCCAGCGCUCAGUGGAGACUGUAUCAGACAAAGUAGCCCUGGAACACGGGCCAAAUCUGCAGUGACCCCAGGACCCUUCAUUACGAGGAAAAUCUGUGAGAAUUGCUAUUUCCCCUAUUUUGUACUGGGAAAAUAACAGAGGCUCUGAGACUGCUCAUUACUCUUAUUUUCCUGCGGUCACGCCUCUGGUUUCCCAGGGCUCUUAUCUGACAAACAGCAGCAUUGUGCCGCCCCCCAGGCUCCCACAGUGGCCUGAGUUACCAGCAGGCACCAUCCCAGGUGGCCAUGAGACACCCCAAAUGGGACCCAGGCAUGAGCGCCUGUGGAUGGCAGGCUAGUGGGUGAAACUCACCAUGUGAGUUUCCUGGGGCUGCUGCCCGGCCACCUAACCCUUCUGGGCUCCUCUCCCCUUGAGCACACCUGCAAAGACCCCAUUUCACGGGGGGUCUUUCCAAAAGGCCACAUUCACAUGCGCUGGAUGUGCGGACUUGAACGUACCUUCUUAGGGGGACUCGAGCGACAACAGAGCUUCACAAUCAUCUGUGCGCUCACCUUCCAACUGCCCCAAGAGGUCAGUGUCCCAGGACCCCCAUUUCACAGACGGGCAAUGGAGCCCCGGCUGUGGGACCCCUGCCCUGCUUGUCGACGGCCUCCUAGGACUCGGAGCUGGUCCUUCCCCAGAGCCCACGUUCUCAGGGGCUUCCUGGGACUCGGGCUCUUCCAGCUCAGAAACUAGGAAGUACCCUUCUGGCAUAGCCGGUUAAGGAUCUGGCAUUGCUGCAGCUGUGACACAGGUCGCAACUGUGGCUCAGAUUAAAUCCCUGGCCUGGGAACUUGCACAUGUUGCAGGUGUGGCUGAAAAAGAGAAGGAAACUAGGACACAUGUUUUGCAAAACGGCUUGCAAAACCCAGGCCGGGCUGCUUAGGUUUCAGUCUCCCCCGUCAAAUGGCACAGGAGGACAAUUCUGGCUGAUUCCCAAGGCUUUCUGACAGAAUUGUCCAGCAUCCUGGAAAAGGUGACUUGAGAUUUCUGUGCCUCCAACUCAGCCCACUGGAGCACGAGAUGGGAAACUGCAGACUCAACAUGCGAGGGUGAAGUCUUCCCCAGGAGCUGGCGCGGGUGGGUGGCCAGGGCUGGCACGGCUGCCUUACUCCUGCUGAGCGGACGCCCUCCCCCGUCUCAGCCCGGGGCACCCACCUGGCCCCUGAGGCUCAGCUCUCAGCAGUGACACGGAGAACAAGGCGGGCGCUGGGAUUACCCGGGGAGAAGGAGCUGCCGGGCAAGUCCUCCACGCCAGCGCUGGCAGUGGGAGAUCUCUGCAACUGGUCCUGCCCUCCUGGCAGACAGAUUGGGGGUGGGGGGCAGAGGACCAGCUGCCCCCCAGAAGCCACAAGUGGGCGAUUCCUGGGUGAGCUGAAGGCUCUCCGCACGUGGCUGUGGGACGGAGGCUCCUCACCCAGAGCCUGCGGCGAGGGGGAAACUGAGGCUUUGAUCGCAGGCCUUCCUCUGCCAGGGGGCCCCUCCAUCUUUCUGCCUCUCCUUUGGGAUCCCUGGACCACAGGACAGCAGACAAGCCCAGCAUUCUCUCUUUGACCUAAUGAAGCUGUGCUACAUCGCACUGCGCUCGUUCCCGGAGAAAUGAGCCCUGCUCCAAUUACUCCCUUAAGAAAAGCCUCUUAGAAAACACAGGCAAACCAGGCUGUCCUGCUGGCCUGGGAGGGGGAGCUUGGAAACCCCAGCGCCGUCUCCAAACAGACCUGGAGAGCAGCCUGUGUGGAGCUGUGGGUGCUCCGGGAGCAGGGGGGCCCUCGGGAGCUUCUGAAGGCAGCACGGCCCUCCCACAGGAUAGGGGGCUCUUGUCUCGCCAACUGGCAGGUGAAAUUGAGCAUUAAGGGAAAAUUGGCAUGGUCAGGGCAGGGUGGCAGGAAACAGAACAGAGGAAGAGAGAGAGAGAGAGCCUUUCACGAGGUGUGGGUUUGGGCAAUUAGUGGUGGAUCGUAGCCUUGCAGGACGUGGUCCGGGAGCGACCAGUCUGGGUUUGGAAAACAGGGUGGGAUUGAUUUUUAGAGGCUGCUCAGAACCCUUCCCCACCCCACCCCGCCCCCGCCCCCGCCCCCGCCCCCUGCGCCUCCAAGGCAGGAGAAAGAGACACCUUACAUCCAUGGGGCUUCAGAAAGUAUAGGGCUGGGCCCCCCAGGAGGCGACUCGUGGUCUGCAGGAGGUUUGGGGGCGUGCUCCUGGGAAGGGGAAGGAGCAGGAGGAGGCAGGCCUGGGCAGCCCUGCUCGCUGGGCUGGGCUACCGUUUCAGGAGAGGCCUCAGCAGUCCCCACAGAGAGCCCCCUUCAGAGCGGUCCUCGCUGGGGCAAGAGGACUGAGCGUUUAAACCCCCUACUGUUGAUCAGCCAUUGGAUGCGAGCUGCCACGCGAUGUGGUAAAUGUUAUUAAAUCGUGCAAAAAAGCAACUCUACGCAUUGGUCUAAGAAUUAGCUUUGAGACGCAGUUACACAUCAACUUUUAUGAAACAGUGUAUUUUUUAAGCAAGCCUGUUUUCAUAAUCUGGGGGGGUUUUUUAGGAUAAAGAUUCAGUUGAGGCUGAAAGGUCAGUUCCUUUUAAGCAGAUGCACUUUUUCGGCGCGGAGCCUCCCCUCCGCACCCAGGGUAGGCAUUGCUAAUCGAUCCCAGAGCACAUCCGUCUCCCUCUACUUCUCGUGAUGUUCUCGAUGUUCUCUCCGCCUGAAGCCCCCUUCCGGUGCCUUGCCCUGGCUAGGGCUCAGUUUAAAUUCUUCUCCGCAACUACCUUCCCGGCCAUGGCCAAGCUGGCCAGCGGUCCGUUCCCCAUGCUUGCCUCAUCGUAUGCGUCUCACACGGCACUGUAUGUAUUCUUUCUCAUCUGUCUCUCCCAUCGGGUGUAAGCAUCACCAUAGCCCAUGUUGACGUCCUGUUGACCCCCCCCAGGGCCUGGCACAAAGACUGGCACGUGGUACAGCUCGUGGUGAGCCUUGCCAGAGUGUCCCCAAGAUGCCUUCCACUCUGCCUCUUGGUGAUUUAGACAUAGGGGUUGAGGAGGGGCAGAGGUUCAGGUGUGAAUCCUUGUCACAGAAAUGAGCCCAAGUACGUCAGACCUCAACCAUCAGAGCAUAUUAUCCCU
rnacentral:lncRNA from 1 species